GCUUUGGUGGUUCAGUGGUAGAAUUCUCAUCUUCCAUGCCAAAGACCCAGGUUCAAUUCCUGGCAGUGCA
rnacentral:tRNA from 1 species